GGGCCCGUGGCUCAGUUGGUAGAGCGUCCGCCUUGCACGCGGAAGGUCAGGGGUUCGAAUCCCCUCGGGUCCA
rfam:Microgenomates bacterium OLB22 TZ21_OP11001CONTIG000010, whole genome shotgun sequence.